AAAGGAAUUGACGGGGGCCCGCACAAGCGGAGGAACAUGUGGUUUAAUUCGAUGAUACGCGAGGAACCUUACCUGGGCUUAAAUGUAGGAUGCAUGAGACGGAAACGUUUCUUUCCUUCGGGACACUCUACAAGGUGCUGCAUGGUUGUCGUCAGCUCGUGCCGUGAGGUGUCGGGUUAAGUCCCAUAACGAGCGCAACCCUUACCGUUAGUUGCCAUCAGGUAAAGCUGGGGACUCUGGCGGGACUGCCACCGUAAGGUGAGAGGAAGGUGGGGAUGACGUCAAAUCAGCACGGCCCUUAUGUCCAGGGCUACACACGUGUUACAAUGGCCGGUACAAAGGGCAGCUACCCCGCGAGGGGAUGCGAAUCUUGAAAGCCGGUCUCAGUUCGGAUUGGAGUCUGCAAUUCGACUCCAUGAAGUUGGAUUCGCUAGUAAUCGCGCAUCAGCCAUGGCGCGGUGAAUACGUUCCCGGGCCUUGUACACACCGCCCGU
rnacentral:rRNA from 1 species